UACGUAGGGACCAAGCGUUGUUCGGAUUUACUGGGCGUAAAGGGCGCGUAGGCGGUGUGUCAAGUCAGUUGUGAAAUCUCCGAGCUUAACUCGGAACGGUCAACUGAUACUGUCACACUAGAGUACAGAAGGGGCAAUCGGAAUUCUUGGUGUAGCGGUGAAAUGCGUAGAUAUCAAGAGGAACACCUGAGGCGAAGGCGGGUUGCUGGGCUGAUACUGACGCUGAUGCGCGAAAGCUAGGGUAGCAAACGGG
rnacentral:rRNA from 1 species